UGGCGGGCAGAAAGAACCGCAUCGGCGCUUACAGUCUGCGGAAUUCCAGUACUCGCUCGAAUGAAAGUACACGUAAUUACCUGGAAACGCUCAACUGUCCCUCAUCACUCAGUGCCGAUGAUUUGACGGCAACUGCGGUGUGGGUCACGGUGGCUCAACACAGGCGGUGCGUGGUCCAUGGUGUGCAGCUGCAUCAUUGCUCCGUUCUUGCAUGAAAAAAACCCCCAAAACCCUCCAGUGUGCCGACUCUGCGUACAAGCACAUCCGGGAUCGAAUGUGAAUGCGUCGAGGACUUCAAAGCCAUCCAGGUCAUCCAAAGCCACGAGCAAAAAGCAAGCCCCCCCCCCCCUCAGUGCAACAGGCAGCUCUUGAUCCUUCCAGAUGAAACACGAACUGAGGUGGCCAGCAAUCGUGGGAUGAGACAAGUGUUUGAUGACUACGCACAAUGCCAGUAGGCAGGCAGCUCGGCGAAGCUCCCUGUGUGAUUGAUGCUGAAGAAGCAGUGUGAUGAACUUCAAACUGAUGCAGAGAAAGGUCCAGAUCAACCGUUGGCACUGGAGGUUACCAUGGUGAUCAUCUUGUAGCAGCUAGCGGCUCAGCAAACGCUACAGUCACAUGACAAGACGAAGGGGGAAACCGCGCUUUCGACUUCUCGUACCAGCGAUGACUGAUAGCGGAACCCGGUCGCCCGAUCCGGACCCAGACGCGGCGGUCCCGGAACCUCUUUGACUGAUAACCGAUGCAGAGUCCCUCAGACAAGCGGCCUUCCCCAUCGGUCGGAAAGGUGCGUACAAGUCUCCUCCGUUCUCACUCAUUCCUUUCAAGCACUUCCAGUCAACCUCACCUACGUUGGGAAAAGAAAGAGGUGAGUGGUUAUGGUUUGAUUUCCUGAUGACGUCUAGCGGAAUUACAGCCAAGCCCCAUUCGUUGAAACGCACUGUUCCCAAAAACAUUUUGCAUAAUUUUACCGCUUCCAUAUUGUCUUCAACAUAUUUGAGCGCCCUUGUCAUUGUAUUUCUAAACACCUGUCAAGCCCUUAUACCACAACGCUCGCGCUUUUCGGCGAUUGCAUUUUGCAGUGUGUGUGUGUGUGUGUGUGUGUUAACGGUAAGUGAGCUGAAUUUCACGUAUUUGAAAUGUGACCGUCUCUUUGUUUGAUGUUUACUUUGACACUAAACCAACGACGAGUGGCAAUAAACAGGUACGUUGAAAAAUAUAUAACGGAGGCGGAACAUUGUACGCAGAUAUAGUAAGGUACCAAUUGAGGAUUUAACGACCGAUGUUUGCAAAUUUUUUUUUAGCCUUGACAAAGGUCUUGCAGUGCUUCUUCGCUCGCCCUUUCUUUUUCUUCUCUUUCGACAAAAGAAACAGCUUUUCGGCGGCACGUCUGUGGCGAUAGGAGUGGGUGUGGAGUGGGAGGGGGGGGAGAAUGCCUUCUGCGGUUCUGCACUGAUGGCGUUUUGUGUUUAAGUGGGAGAAGGGCCCGAAUGUUUCUGCCACAUGGCCGCUGAUGCUGAACGGCGCUGGCAGGUGGAUUAUACCUCGUGCCGCUGUGUCCCCGGACAAAUUUAAAGGUAGCCCGGAAACUCGGCACCGGGGGAGAAUGUCGGCACACGGGGGAGGGUCGGCCCAUCUUCUCCUUUUUGUGUGUGUGUGUGCGCGUGUGUGUGUGUGUUCCAUCUUUCUUUUCCGCUCUCCUGAACUUGUAUUGCACAAAAAUCCCAUAGAACCGCUGGUCAGAGCCAUUCCCUUCCUGUUGUGAUCAUCCUCUGACAACUAAUUAACUGACAGCGUCGGUCCCCCUCGGGGACGGGCCAUAAAUGCGACGGUACGACAAGAAACGAUUUGUACAAAAUGAUGAUUACGUUCGGCAAUGUAAAAAAGGAGUCCCGCUCUCGUGCGAGUCCCUAACCCGAAACUAG